GGGGCUGUGGCUCAGAGGUAGAGUGCUCGCCUACCAUGCGUGAGGCACUGGAUUCGAUCCCCUGCACCA
rnacentral:tRNA from 1 species